GUGCUCACUUCAGCAGCACAUAUGAAAUGGCCACGAGACAGAGAUUAGCCUGGCCUCUGCACAAGGAUGACACACAAAUUCACAACACAUUCCAGAUGGUU
ensembl:snRNA U6 U6 spliceosomal RNA